CUAGAUGGAACUGAGCAUUUACUGGCUGGAUGCCCUUCCUGACGUCACACAGAGUUUGCAGCAGAUAUUUUUUCUUCGUUGCCUGAGAAAGAUCAGCCACUACCCUAGGAUUGAACACUCAACCUUCUGAGUGGGAGAUUGCAAGUGAACAAAACUUCUCAGAGAAGGUUAAAAGUGACUAAUGCUGAACAACAACAAAAAAACCCAUAAUAAAAUCUUAACAACA